rnacentral:rRNA from 1 species
UACGUAGGGAGCGAGCGUUGUCCGGAUUUACUGGGUGUAAAGGGUGCGUAGGCGGCUGAGCAAGUCAGGUGUGAAAACCAUCGGCUUAACUGAUGGACUGCAUUUGAAACUGCUUGGCUUGAGUGGAGCAGAGGCAGGCGGAAUUCCCGGUGUAGCGGUGAAAUGCGUAGAGAUCGGGAGGAACACCAGUGGCGAAGGCGGCCUGCUGGGCUUUAACUGACGCUGAGGCACGAAAGCAUGGGUAGCAAACAGGAUUAGAUACCCUGGUAGUCCAUGCCGUAAACGAUGAUUACUAGGUGUGGGUGGUCUGACCCCAUCCGUGCCGGAGUUAACACAAUAAGUAAUCCACCUGGGAAGUACGACCGCAAGGUUGAAACUCAAAGGAAUUGACGGGGGCCCGCACAAGCAGUGGAGUAUGUGGUUUAAUUCGAAGCAACGCGAAGAACCUUACCAGGUCUUGACAUCUGCCGGAUUCUUCAGAGAUGAGGGAGUGCCCUUCGGGGAACGGCAAGACAGGUGGUGCAUGGUU